rnacentral:rRNA from 1 species
UUUUUGGCACGUACUGAAUUAAMCCGGCCUUCCUUCUGGCUAACCACACUCUGUGUUGGCAAACCAGGACUUUUACUUUGAAAAAAUUAGAGUGUUCAAAGCAGGCCUUUGCUCGAAUAUAUUAGCAUGGAAUAAUAGAAUAGGACGUUAUGGUUCUAUUUUGUUGGUUUCUAGGACCAUCGUAAUGAUUAAUAGGGACGGUCGGGGGCAUCAGUAUUCAGUUGUCAGAGGUGAAAUUCUUGGAUUUACUGAAGACUAACUACUGCGAAAGCAUUUGCCAAGGACGUUUUCAUUAAUCAAGAACGAAAGUUAGGGGAUCGAAGAUGAUCAGAUACCGUCGUAGUCUUAACCAUAAACUAUGCCGACUAGGGAUCGGGUGGUGUUUCUUUUUUGACCCACUCGGCACCUUACGAGAAAUCAAAGUUUUUGGGUUCUGGGGGGAGUAUGGUCGCAAGGCUGAAACUUAAAGGAAUUGACGGAAGGGCACCACCAGGAGUGNGACUGCGGCUUAAUUUGACUCAACACGGGGAAACUCACCAGGUCCAGACACAAUAAGGAUUGACAGAUUGAGAGCUCUUUCUUGAUUUUGUGGGUGGUGGUGCAUGGCCGUUCUUAGUUGGUGGAGUGAUUUGUCUGCUUAAUUGCGAUAACGAACGAGACCUUAACCUACUAAAUAGUGAUAUUGGCUUUUGCUGAUUUUCACUUCUUAGAGGGACUAUCGGUUUCAAGCCGAUGGAAGUUUGAGGCAAUAACAGGUCUGUGAUGCCCUUAGACGUUCUGGGCCGCACGCGCGCUACACUGACGGAGCCAACGAGCUCUAUCCUUGACCGAGAGGUCCGGGUAAUCUUGUGAAACUCCGUCGUGCUGGGGAUAGAGCAUUGCAAUUAUUGCUCUUCAACGAGGAAUUCCUAGUAAGCGCAAGUCAUCAGCUUGCGUUGAUUACGUCCCUGCCCUUUGUACACACCGCCCGUCGCUAGUACCGAUUGAAUGGCUUAGUGAGGCUUCAGGAUUGGUUCAGAGAAN